rnacentral:rRNA from 1 species
UACGUAGGGUGCGAGCGUUAAUCGGAAUUACUGGGCGUAAAGCGUGCGCAGGCGGUGGCUCAAGCCAGGCGUGAAAUCCCCGGGCUUAACCUGGGAAUGGCGUUUGGGACUGGGUCGCUAGAGUGUGGCAGAGGGAGGUGGAAUUCCACGUGGUAGCAGUGAAAUGCGUAGAGAUGUGGAGGAACACCGAUGGCGAAGGCAGCCUCCUGGGCCAGCACUGACGCUCAUGCACGAAAGCGUGGGGAGCGAACAGG